rnacentral:rRNA from 1 species
AACGAACGCUGGCGGCAUGCCUAACACAUGCCAGUCGAACGAGACCUUCGGGUCUAGUGGCGCCCGGGUGUGUAACGCGUGGGAAGCUGCCCUUAGGUUCGGAAUAACUCCCCGAAAGGGGUGCUAAUACCGGAUAAUGUCUUCGGACCAAAGAUUUAUCGCCUUUGGAUGGGCCCUCGUUGGAUUAGCUAGUUGGUAGGGUAAAAGCCUACCAAGGCGACGAUCCAUAGCUGGUCUGAGAGGAUGAUCAGCCACACUGGGACUGAGACACGGCCCAGACUCUUACGGGAUGCAGCAGUGGGGAACAUUGGACAAUGGGCGAAAGCCUGAUCCAGCAAUGCCGCGUGAGUGAUGAAGGCCUUAGGGUUGUAAAGCUCUUUUACCCGGGAUGAUAAUGACAGUACCGGGAGAAUAAGCUCCGGCUAACUCCGUG